UGCUUGCACCUGGUGGCGAGUGGCGAACGGGUGAGUAAUACAUCGGAACAUGUCCUGUAGUGGGGGAUAGCCCGGCGAAAGCCGGAUUAAUACCGCAUACGAUCUAUGGAUGAAAGCGGGGGACCUUCGGGCCUCGCGCUAUAGGGUUGGCCGAUGGCUGAUUAGCUAGUUGGUGGGGUAAAGGCCUACCAAGGCGACGAUCAGUAGCUGGUCUGAGAGGACGACCAGCCACACUGGGACUGAGACACGGCCCAGACUCCUACGGGAGGCAGCAGUGGGGAAUUUUGGACAAUGGGCGAAAGCCUGAUCCAGCAAUGCCGCGUGUGCGAAGAAGGCCUUCGGGUUGUAAAGCACUUUUGUCCGGAAAGAAAUCCUUGGUUCUAAUAUAGCCGGGGGAUGACGGUACCGGAAGAAUAAGCACCGGCUAACUACGUGCCAGCAGCCGCGGUAAUACGUAGGGUGCGAGCGUUAAUCGGAAUUACUGGGCGUAAAGCGUGCGCAGGCGGUUUGCUAAGACCGAUGUGAAAUCCCCGGGCUCAACCUGGGAACUGCAUUGGUGACUGGCAGGCUAGAGUAUGGCAGAGGGGGGUAGAAUUCCACGUGUAGCAGUGAAAUGCGUAGAGAUGUGGAGGAAUACCGAUGGCGAAGGCAGCCCCCUGGGCCAAUACUGACGCU
rnacentral:rRNA from 1 species